UAACAGGUCUUCGGAUGCUGACGAGUGGCGAACGGGUGAGUAAUACAUCGGAACGUGCCCGAGAGUGGGGGAUAACGAAGCGAAAGCUUUGCUAAUACCGCAUACGAUCUCAGGAUGAAAGCAGGGGACCGCAAGGCCUUGCGCUCACGGAGCGGCCGAUGGCAGAUUAGGUAGUUGGUGGGAUAAAAGCUUACCAAGCCGACGAUCUGUAGCUGGUCUGAGAGGACGACCAGCCACACUGGGACUGAGACACGGCCCAGACUCCUACGGGAGGCAGCAGUGGGGAAUUUUGGACAAUGGGCGCAAGCCUGAUCCAGCCAUGCCGCGUGCAGGAUGAAGGCCUUCGGGUUGUAAACUGCUUUUGUACGGAACGAAAAGACUCUGGUUAAUACCUGGGGUCCAUGACGGUACCGUAAGAAUAAGCACCGGCUAACUACGUGCCAGCAGCCGCGGUAAUACGUAGGGUGCGAGCGUUAAUCGGAAUUACUGGGCGUAAAGCGUGCGCAGGCGGUUAUGUAAGACAGAUGUGAAAUCCCCGGGCUCAACCUGGGAACUGCAUUUGUGACUGCAUAGCUAGAGUACGGCAGAGGGGGAUGGAAUUCCGCGUGUAGCAGUGAAAUGCGUAGAUAUGCGGAGGAACACCGAUGGCGAAGGCA
rnacentral:rRNA from 1 species